AGAGUUUGAUCAUGGCUCAGGAUGAACGCUAGCUACAGGCUUAACACAUGCAAGUCGAGGGGAAACGACAUCGAAAGCUUGCUUUUGAUGGGCGUCGACCGGCGCACGGGUGAGUAACGCGUAUCCAACCUGCCCACCACUUGGGGAUAACCUUGCGAAAGUAAGACUAAUACCCAAUGAUAUCUCUAGAAGACAUCUGAAAGAGAUUAAAGAUUUAUCGGUGAUGGAUGGGGAUGCGUCUGAUUAGCUUGUUGGCGGGGUAACGGCCCACCAAGGCAACGAUCAGUAGGGGUUCUGAGAGGAAGGUCCCCCACAUUGGAACUGAGACACGGUCCAAACUCCUACGGGAGGCAGCAGUGAGGAAUAUUGGUCAAUGGACGAGAGUCUGAACCAGCCAAGUAGCGUGCAGGAUGACGGCCCUAUGGGUUGUAAACUGCUUUUAUAAGGGAAUAAAGUGAGCCUCGUGAGGCUUUUUGCAUGUACCUUAUGAAUAAGGACCGGCUAAUUCCGUGCCAGCAGCCGCGGUAAUACGGAAGGUCCGGGCGUUAUCCGGAUUUAUUGGGUUUAAAGGGUGCGUAGGCGGCCUUUUAAGUCAGCGGUGAAAGUCUGUGGCUCAACCAUAGAAUUGCCGUUGAAACUGGGAGGCUUGAGUAUGUUUGAGGCAGGCGGAAUGCGUGGUGUAGCGGUGAAAUGCUUAGAUAUCACGCAGAACCCCGAUUGCGAAGGCAGCCUGCCAAGCCAUGACUGACGCUGAUGCACAAAAGCGUGGGGAUCAAACAGGAUUAGAUACCCUGGUAGUCCACGCAGUAAACGAUGAUCACUAGCUGUUUGCGAUACAGUGUAAGCGGCACAGCGAAAGCGUUAAGUGAUCCACCUGGGGAGUACGCCGGCAACGGUGAAACUCAAAGGAAUUGACGGGGGCCCGCACAAGCGGAGGAACAUGUGGUUUAAUUCGAUGAUACGCGAGGAACCUUACCCGGGUUUGAACGCAUUCGGACCGAGGUGGAAGCACCUUUUCUAGCAAUAGCCGUUUGCGAGGUGCUGCAUGGUUGUCGUCAGCUCGUGCCGUGAGGUGUCGGCUUAAGUGCCAUAACGAGCGCAACCCUUGUUGUCAGUUACUAACAGGUUCCGCUGAGGACUCUGACAAGACUGCCAUCGUAAGAUGUGAGGAAGGUGGGGAUGACGUCAAAUCAGCACGGCCCUUACGUCCGGGGCUACACACGUGUUACAAUGGGGGGUACAGAGGGCCGCUACCACGCGAGUGGAUGCCAAUCCCAAAAACCUCUCUCAGUUCGGACUGGAGUCUGCAACCCGACUCCACGAAGCUGGAUUCGCUAGUAAUCGCGCAUCAGCCACGGCGCGGUGAAUACGUUCCCGGGCCUUGCACACACCGCCCGU
rnacentral:rRNA from 1 species